rnacentral:tRNA from 1 species
GCGGGAUUAGUUCAAUGGUAGAAUGUCAGCUUCCCAAGCUGAACACGCGAGUUCGAUUCUCGUAUCCCGCUCCA